rnacentral:rRNA from 1 species
GAUGAACGCUGGCGGCGUGCCUAAUACAUGCAAGUCGAGCGAACAGACGAGGAGCUUGCUCCUCUGACGUUAGCGGCGGACGGGUGAGUAACACGUGGAUAACCUACCUAUAAGACUGGGAUAACUUCGGGAAACCGGAGCUAAUACCGGAUAAUAUAUUGAACCGCAUGGUUCAAUAGUGAAAGACGGUUUUGCUGUCACUUAUAGAUGGAUCCGCGCCGCAUUAGCUAGUUGGUAAGGUAACGGCUUACCAAGGCAACGAUGCGUAGCCGACCUGAGAGGGUGAUCGGCCACACUGGAACUGAGACACGGUCCGGACUCCUACGGGAGGCAGCAGUAGGGAAUCUUCCGCAAUGGGCGAAAGCCUGACGGAGCAACGCCGCGUGAGUGAUGAAGGUCUUCGGAUCGUAAAACUCUGUUAUUAGGGAAGAACAAAUGUGUAAGUAACUAUGCACGUCUUGACGGUACCUAAUCAGAAAGCCACGGCUAACUACGU